rnacentral:piRNA from 1 species
UCCACAGGCUGUGAGAAGUUUUGCCUUC